AGGAUUUUGCGAUGUUUUAGAAUCCGGCAACUAUUGAGCAAGCUUUGUGGCAAAACCCGUUAUCACGGCUGAACUGGAACGAUAUUGCGUAUUUCUACGAAUACGAACCAGAACUAUUCGCUUCUGGCGAUCUUCGGAAGGCUUUGGAGAGUUAUCUAGCUGCAGACUAUAAUCCAGCCGAGGAUGCCGUUCAAGGGAUUCCGAACUCUUUGAACUAUGAAGCGAAACGUUAAAGGCCGAGGUUCCUAAUGUUAGAGAAUUAAUCGUAAAAAAGUAGUAUAUUUAAGUGAAUAAAGGGCAACAUACUCUAAAAA